rnacentral:rRNA from 1 species
AUUGAACGCUGGCGGCAGGCCUAACACAUGCAAGUCGAACGAGUGGCGGACGGGUGAGUAAUGUCUGGGAAACUGCCUGACGGAGGGGGAUCACUACUGGAAACGGUAGCUAAUACCGCAUACCAUCGGAUGUGCCCAGAUAGGAUUAGCUAGUAGGUGGGGUAAAGGCUCACCUAGGCAACGAUCCCUAGCUGGUCUGAGAGGAUGACCAGCCACAAUGGAACUGAGACACGGUCCAGACUCUGACGGUAGGCAGCGGUGGGGAAUAUUGCACAAUGGGCGCAAGCCUGAUGCAGCCAUGCCGCGGGUAUGAAGAAGGCCUUCGGGUUGUAAAGUACUUUCAGCGGGGAGGCGUUACCCGCAGAAGAAGCACCGGCUAACGCCGUGCCAGCAGCCGCGGUAAUAC